UACAGAGGGUGCGAGCGUUAAUCGGAAUUACUGGGCGUAAAGCGUGCGCAGGCGGUUUUGUAAGUCUGCCGUGAAAUCCCCGGGCUCAACCUGGGAAUUGCGAUGGAGACUGCAAGGCUAGAAUCUGGCAGAGGGGGGUAGAAUUCCACGUGUAGCAGUGAAAUGCGUAGAGAUGUGGAGGAACACCGAUGGCGAAGGCAGCCCCCUGGGUCAAGAUUGACGCUCAUGCA
rnacentral:rRNA from 1 species